GGGUUGGUGGUGUAGUGGUAACAUGCGCCGCGGGUAAACAUUCUCUUUCCGCGGAUGAGACCUAGGUUCGAUUCGAUUCCUGGCCGACCCA